rnacentral:rRNA from 1 species
GGUUAAGCGACUAAGCGUACACGGUGGAUGCCCUGGCAGUCAGAGGCGAUGAAGGACGUGCUAAUCUGCGAAAAGCGUCGGUAAGGUGAUAUGAACCGUUAUAACCGGCGAUGUCCGAAUGGGGAAACCCAGUGUGAUUCGUCACACUAUCGUUAACUGAAUACAUAGGUUAACGAGGCGAACCGGGGGAACUGAAACAUCUAAGUACCCCGAGGAAAAGAAAUCAACCGAGAUUCCCCCAGUAGCGGCGAGCGAACGGGGAGCAGCCCAGAGUCUGAAUCAGCUUGUGUGUUAGUGGAACGGUCUGGAAAGUCCGACGGUACAGGGUGAUAGUCCCGUACACCAAAAUGCACAGGCUGUGAACUCGAAGAGUAGGGCGGGACACGUGGUAUCCUGUCUGAAUAUGGGGGGACCAUCCUCCAAGGCUAAAUACUCCUGACUGACCGAUAGUGAACCAGUACCGUGAGGGAAAGGCGAAAAGAACCCCGGCGAGGGGAGUGAAAAAGAACCUGAAACCGUGUACGUACAAGCAGUGGGAGCACCUUUAUGGUGUGACUGCGUACCUUUUGUAUAAUGGGUCAGCGACUUAUAUUCUGUAGCAAGGUUAACCGUAUAGGGGAGCCGCAGGGAAACCGAGUCUUAACUGGGCGUUAAGUUGCAGGGUAUAGACCCGAAACCCGGUGAUCUAGCCAUGGGCAGGUUGAAGGUUGGGUAACACUAACUGGAGGACCGAACCGACUAAUGUUGAAAAAUUAGCGGAUGACUUGUGGCUGGGGGUGAAAGGCCAAUCAAACCGGGAGAUAGCUGGUUCUCCCCGAAAGCUAUUUAGGUAGCGCCUCGUGAACUCAUCUUCGGGGGUAGAGCACUGUUUCGGCUAGGGGGUCAUCCCGACUUACCAACCCGAUGCAAACUACGAAUACCGAAGAAUGUUAUCACGGGAGACACACGGCGGGUGCUAACGUCCGUCGUGAAGAGGGAAACAACCCAGACCGCCAGCUAAGGUCCCAAAGUCAUGGUUAAGUGGGAAACGAUGUGGGAAGGCACAGACAGCCAGGAUGUUGGCUUAGAAGCAGCCAUCAUUUAAAGAAAGCGUAAUAGCUCACUGGUCGAGUCGGCCUGCGCGGAAGAUGUAACGGGGCUAAACCAUGCACCGAAGCUGCGGCAGCGACGCUUAUGCGUUGUUGGGUAGGGGAGCGUUCUGUAAGCCUGCGAAGGUGGCCUGUGAGGGUUGCUGGAGGUAUCAGAAGUGCGAAUGCUGACAUAAGUAACGAUAAAGCGGGUGAAAAGCCCGCUCGCCGGAAGACCAAGGGUUCCUGUCCAACGUUAAUCGGGGCAGGGUGAGUCGACCCCUAAGGCGAGGCCGAAAGGCGUAGUCGAUGGGAAACAGGUUAAUAUUCCUGUACUUGGUGUUACUGCGAAGGGGGGACGGAGAAGGCUAUGUUAGCCGGGCGACGGUUGUCCCGGUUUAAGCAUGUAGGCUGGUUAUCCAGGCAAAUCCGGAUAAUCAAGGCUGAGGUGUGAUGACGAGGCACUACGGUGCUGAAGUAACAAAUGCCCUGCUUCCAGGAAAAGCCUCUAAGCAUCAGGUAACAUCAAAUCGUACCCCAAACCGACACAGGUGGUCAGGUAGAGAAUACCAAGGCGCUUGAGAGAACUCGGGUGAAGGAACUAGGCAAAAUGGUGCCGUAACUUCGGGAGAAGGCACGCUGGUGUGUAGGUGAAGUCCCUGCGGAUGGAGCUGAGACCAGUCGAAGAUACCAGCUGGCUGCAACUGUUUAUUAAAAACACAGCACUGUGCAAACACGAAAGUGGACGUAUACGGUGUGACGCCUGCCCGGUGCCGGAAGGUUAAUUGAUGGGGUUAUCCGUAAGGAGAAGCUCUUGAUCGAAGCCCCGGUAAACGGCGGCCGUAACUAUAACGGUCCUAAGGUAGCGAAAUUCCUUGUCGGGUAAGUUCCGACCUGCACGAAUGGCGUAAUGAUGGCCAGGCUGUCUCCACCCGAGACUCAGUGAAAUUGAACUCGCUGUGAAGAUGCAGUGUACCCGCGGCAAGACGGAAAGACCCCGUGAACCUUUACUAUAGCUUGACACUGAACAUUGAGCCUUGAUGUGUAGGAUAGGUGGGAGGCUUUGAAGCGUGGACGCCAGUCUGCGUGGAGCCAACCUUGAAAUACCACCCUUUAAUGUUUGAUGUUCUAACGUUGGCCCCUAAUCGGGGUUGCGGACAGUGUCUGGUGGGUAGUUUGACUGGGGCGGUCUCCUCCCAAAGCGUAACGGAGGAGCACGAAGGUUAGCUAAUCCUGGUCGGACAUCAGGAGGUUAGUGCAAUGGCAUAAGCUAGCUUGACUGCGAGCGUGACGGCGCGAGCAGGUGCGAAAGCAGGUCAUAGUGAUCCGGUGGUUCUGAAUGGAAGGGCCAUCGCUCAACGGAUAAAAGGUACUCCGGGGAUAACAGGCUGAUACCGCCCAAGAGUUCAUAUCGACGGCGGUGUUUGGCACCUCGAUGUCGGCUCAUCACAUCCUGGGGCUGAAGUAGGUCCCAAGGGUAUGGCUGUUCGCCAUUUAAAGUGGUACGCGAGCUGGGUUUAGAACGUCGUGAGACAGUUCGGUCCCUAUCUGCCGUGGGCGCUGGAGAAUUGAGGGGGGCUGCUCCUAGUACGAGAGGACCGGAGUGGACGCAUCACUGGUGUUCGGGUUGUCAUGCCAAUGGCACUGCCCGGUAGCUAAAUGCGGAAGAGAUAAGUGCUGAAAGCAUCUAAGCACGAAACUUGCCCCGAGAUGAGUUCUCCCUGAGACUUUAAGUCUCCUGAAGGAACGUUGAAGACGACGACGUUGAUAGGCCGGGUGUGUAAGCGCAGCGAUGCGUUGAGCUAACCGGUACUAAUGAACCGUGAGGCUUAACCUU